rnacentral:rRNA from 1 species
GUAGGGAAUAUUGGGCAAUGGUCGGAAGACUGACCCAGCCAUGCCGCGUGCAGGAAGACGGCCCUCUGGGUUGUAAACUGCUUUUAUCUGGGAAGAAAAUGGCCAUGCGUGGCAAAUUGCCGGUACCAGAUGAAUAAGCACCGGCUAACUCCGUGCCAGCAGCCGCGGUAAUACGGAGGGUGCGAGCGUUGUCCGGAUUUAUUGGGUUUAAAGGGUGCGUAGGCGGCUGAUUAAGUCAGCGGUGAAAGACUUCGGCUUAACCGGAGCAGUGCCGUUGAUACUGGUUGGCUUGAGUGUCGGAGGGGUACAUGGAAUUGAUGGUGUAGCGGUGAAAUGCAUAGAUACCUUCAGGAACACCGAUAGCGAAGGCAUUGUACUGGCCGACAACUGACGCUGAUGCACGAAAGUGUGGGGAUCGAACAGGAUUAGAAACCCGUGUAGUCC